GACAGAGGGGGCAAGCGUUGCUCGGAAUUACUGGGCGUAAAGGGCGCGUAGGCGGAAUGGCAAGUCGGUCGUGAAAUCCUUCGGCUCAACCGAAGAACGUCGAUCGAAACUGCCGUUCUUGAGGAUUGCAGAGGAGACUGGAAUUCCCGGUGUAGCAGUGAAAUGCGUAGAGAUCAUGAGGAAGACCAGUGGCGAAGGCGGGUCUCUGGACAGUUCCUGACACUGAGACACGAAGGCCAGGGGAGCAAACGGG
rnacentral:rRNA from 1 species